ensembl:lncRNA
UCCAAAUGCGCCGUCGAUUUCCCCAAAUAUCAAGCGUGGUCCGGUGCACGCUUCGUGGCCCCAUAUAUCCCACAAUCCAUAGCGCGGCGGUGGGUGUGGAUAAUUUUGCCGCAAAAUACGGCAGAAGGGAGCGGCUGAAGAGUGAACUGUCAAAACUUAUCACACAUUUGAUUUCCAUGUGUGACAACUGCAAGUGUCCAGAGUGAGGACAGACUGAGGGACCCACUGCUGCACAUCAUCUGUGAGGCUUUGC